GGUACUGAGAUUGCGGGUACUCUGCAGCAUGAAGAAGGCGGCCCGUUCUCUGCCUUUCAACUCAGGGAACAGGUUCUGAGACUCUGGUGAGCCCGCCCUGUGUUAGGGUCGCAAGGAGGCACAAAGAAGAUGCAGGCCUGGCCCCUGGGAAGGAGUCUUCAAGCUAGUGUCACUACACUACCUAUCAUUCAAUAGUCCUUAAUCAAUCCUCCGCUGAAUACGACAGCUACGCUGAGCGAGGGGACGGUUGAGUAUCUGUUCCAUUUAUGAGAUCCUGUAUUAAAGUCAAUGCAUUUAUUGAGGGUCUGCUCCAUGCAAGAGCUAUACAAAGGCAUGUAAGAAAACAUCCCUGCCUUAAUUUGGCAGGGAGAGUAGACAGGAAAAGGUUAAUAGGAACUCAAGAAUCACAGAAGACAGGCUCGGGAACGCUAUUAGGUACAGAGGAUUAAGAGCCCGUUAGGGGAGUGUCCACUCCUUCAGCAGACAGAGGGCUGACAGAGACAGGGGGAAACUGGGAAAGUGGAAAGAACAAUGGGGGAAGACACAAGCAAAAGCCAAGGUUGAGAAGGCGAAGGGCCCCUCUCUCUCUGGGACUCUCCCUGCCAGUAUUUUUCUCUUUCUCUCCUGGAGGGCCAUAUAAAGGCAUUUUCCUCUUUCAUCUUGUACAUUAUGAUCCUAGGAGGGAUCUCCUCGGCUUCUCUUGUUUUCCAACUACCGUCUCAUGACAAAUGAUGUGUGUUUCACUCUUGCGUGGAGAAGUAUUGUACCAAAAUAUUAGGUUGGAAAAAAAAAAUUAGCACCACAAGAGUAAAAACAAAUGAUCACCUUUCCAAAGGAGAUAAUUACCCAGCCAAAUGAGAUCAUCUGCCCUGGGAGGGACCAGUCGGACUUGUUGGGGUGGGAGAAUGCCCCUCAUUUCUUCCUGGCACAACCUACAAUUUUCUGAUGGUUUGGGUGAUACGCUUUUCAUUAAAGUACGGCUUGACACUGUUCUCUCAGUCCCCAGUGACCAUGAGAUGAGUGCGAUGGCGAUAUUUUCCCGAGAAGCCCCAAGGCUGCCAAUCCCCAGCCUUCUGACCGUGAGAAGUACCAGUCCCCUUCACAAAUCAACACGGACAACUCUUCAAAUUCGAUUCUCGGGUACAAGUUCACAGCUAAUUCCUGCAAGAAUUUCAUUACUAACUGAAGCAUAAUUUAGAAUCUGUGAUUGAAAUGCCCGCCUGCUACCAUCCCCAGCUUUCCUCUUCAACUAGAUUACCCUACGGUUGUUGGGAAAUGUAUUAAGUGCAAGCUAAAUAAAGUUACAUUUACAUGCUUGGAUAUA